ACAGUGUGCUAUGCUCAUACAUAUAUAUACAUGUAUAUGCAAUGUAUAACAAUGUGGUCCAUGUCACUCUCUGAUUGAAAGAAAACUAAGCAGAAACUUCUGCUAGUGAAUUUUAUAAUGAUGUGUUACAGGACAUUCAGCAAAGAAUCUGACCUCCUUUUCUGCAUGGUGCAUCCUCCAUUGCAAUGGAUGGAGAUAUUUGGUUCAUUGGAAGAAACAGUCACCAGAAUAUAUGGAAAGCUGGUGGAGACAGAGCAUUUGCAGUACAGUGUGAACCAAAUCUCAUUGCCAAAAUGUGAUCUUCAGUGUCCUUGGGAUUGGCUGUUUGUACUUCCGUUCCACCACUCCUUGAAUAAAGUCAAUGCAGCUCACACGUGCUCUUUGAAGAACCCUCAGCCCAUUUUUAAAGUUUCAUAGGACCUUCAGCACUCUGUGCUCUUCAUUUGCCUGUCUCAGUGGCAUCUAGCUCUGCACCACUGCAAAGUUAAUGGGAGCAUACAUGAAUAUAAGUUCAAGCUGUACAAUG